GAAUGGAUGAAUAGUAACUUUCUCAAAUUAAAUAAAGAAAAAAACCGAAAUCUUAGUGAUUGGCAAUAAUGGAUACAAUGAGGCUAUUAGAAAUAAACUGGAUGCAUUAGGAUUAAAAGUCAAAUCGGAGGUAAAAAGCUUAGGGGUAACCGUUGAUUGUAAUCUGAAUUUUAAAUCGCAUAUUAAUCAGAUCACUAGGACAGCAUUUUUUCACCUAAGAAACAUAGCAAAAGUUAGACCUCUUAUAUCAUCGAAAGAUGCAGAGAAAUUAGUUCAUGCGUUUGUUUUCAGUCGGCUAGAUUACUGUAACGCACUCCUCUCAGGACUACCCAAAAAAGACAUCAAUCGUUUGCAACUAGUGCAGAAUGCAGCUGCUAGAAUCCUUACCAGGAAAAGAAAAUCCGAACACAUUUCUCCAGUUUUGAUGUCGCUACACUGGUUACCUGUGUCAUUCAGAAUUGACUUUAAAAUUCUGCUUAUGGCUUUAUAAACUAUAAGCAGGAUUUUAAAGUCAAUUCUAAAUGACAGAGGUAACCAGUGUAGUGACAUCAAGACUGGAGAGAUGUGCUCGGAUUUUCU